rnacentral:lncRNA from 1 species
AUCCGGAAGCUUGCCAGGAUAACUAGAAGAAGGUGAACCACAAUGUUCAACAGCACUUGCUAGAGCUAAGUGCAAAUCGGUCUCUUCCUGCAACUGCUACUGCAACUUUUUAACCUGUAUCACCCAAGUGGUAGCAUGUUGCAUGAGAAUGAGAUAUAAAUCCUGCACAAAGCUGGCUGUUAUCGGUAAGAAAAAAAAGAAAAUCAAAACAUGUAUAUCAUGAUAACGGCAUGUCAUUCAUUAGCAAAACCGUUAAUUCUGAACGAGUAAACAAUUGUUUCAUGUUUUCAUAUGUCUCCCCUUAAAAGUCUAUUGUUAUGCCGAUGCUUCUUUGCUUCCUAGUAGAAUGCAUCAAAUCAACCCUCGAUAAGCUUAAGAUUUAUAAAGACGAGGAGUGAGAGUGAUGUAGAUUCGUAGACUAAAAACAAGUUCAAAAACCCUUACUUCUUGCAAUCUCCAUCUUUUUGGGGGGACAAAAACAUAAGAAAGGGAAAAUUUUCUAGAGAAAUUGAUUUUCGAACAAAUACGCCAAAACAAAUAAUGAAAUAGAAUUAGAAUCCUCUUACUUCUUGCUCAAGUUGGUAUUUAUAAUUUCACAUCUGUUGAUUUGUCUCUUGUCCACUCCUUUCAUGGGACUUACCAUCCUGGUAUAACAACAUGAUUCCAGAAUCUAAAACUCUUUUCAACAAACCUAAACAAAUAUAUCAUAAAUUCAUAAUAAAAACCCUUGCUCUCUUAGUAAAAUGACUUGCUCCAAACCUUACCACUCUUCAAUUGUAAAUACCCAUUAAUAGAACUUCUUCCCCUGCAAAACCAUCAACCAUACUGCAUUCACCAUUACAAAACCAGAAAAAAAAAAGCAGAAAAUGAAAAAGGACAAAAAAAAGACCCACCAACUGAUUGGUAGAAUAAAACCCCCAUUAUAACCAUCUCAAAAAUGAAAAGCUAUUAAACUAAAAUAUGAGCAUGAAUUUAAUAGUAAAAACAAUUGCACAUAAAAGAAUCAUGUAAAACAAACCUUAUUGGUGAGAAUUCCUUUGAUAAUCCUGCAAAACACUUCCAUUGCAUAUUUGUUCAACACAAACUCAAAUGUUGAAUAUCCUACCAUGGUACGAUACAGAUUUGCACAAACAGAAGCAUAACACAUUCAUAUCAAAGCACCAAUUUCA